UUGGUUGGUUUACCACUGAAGUCAUGAAGAUAGGAAGGAGAGUGGGAGCUUUCCGUUACAAGAAGUAGCACCGACCACCGACUACUUCCGUUUGCGUUCCAUUUCCUUUGCGACCGUUCGAGGUUGGAGACGCGUCAUGGUGCUGGUCCAUUUCUCUCGCGUGAAAAGAAACCGCGGGAGAAACGCAAGAUGGUUAAAUCUGCGCGAAAAAUGGAAAUGAUGCAUUGCGCUUGUUGCACCAUUUGCGAAUUUGAAAACUCCUCAGGAGAAAAUAUGGGACGAAAUCCUUGGGAUGAAACCUGAGACCAAGUACAAGUCGACCACUUUCAUGCAGAAUAACUUGCCACAUCCCAUUCUUCAAAAUGACCAUUGUAAAUUGGUCUGGAAUCUUGAAGGUGUAAGAUACCCAUAAAGACUUUGGAGUUCUUAGGAAGGAAAGCUAAUGUGUAUGGAAUGAAACUAUUGAUUAUUCAUUUAAUCUACGUCGCAGCCAACAAACACGCUGCAAUAUUGAUUGCAAAGAAACCCCAAUGUGAGAAGAAUUUUUUUUCUUUGUGAAAUGUGAUACAGAUAAUAAGCUGCUCCAAAAUGACGUUAUCAAAUCUGAUGGACGUAGUGCAAAUAUGAUAUGCGUUCGAUCCGUAUGUAACUACAUUCAAAUGCGAAGAUAUUUUCGAUGCGUUCUGUACAUAAAAUGAAGAAAUUGGAUCCGUUGAUCGACAACCAAAUCACACAUUACGAUCCAUGUAAUAAGGAGAAGAAUCAUCAAUUUAUUAUUCACAUUUUGUUAUGCUUUGUAAUUAUAACGUAUAUCAUGUAUGUUUGUUAAAAAAUAAAGUACAGUUUAAUAAAUA